rnacentral:tRNA from 1 species
GCGGUCUGCUGUGGGCACUGGGGGCAUAGCGGUCUUGAAAACCGUCGUGGCAGCGAUGUCACCGUGGGUUCAAAUCCCACACCCACCGCA